GGAGUUGUGCCUGAAGGAAAGGGCCACUUUGAUAGAGUGAACCAUGGGGGUUAAAGUCCCCCCAGCUCCU
rnacentral:tRNA from 1 species